AUUGAACGCUGUCGGCAGGCCUAACACAUGCAAGUCGAACGAGUGGCGGACGGGUGAGUAAUGUCUGGGAAACUGCCUGCUGGAGGGGGAUAACUACUGGAAACGGUAGCUAAUACCGCAUACCAUCGGAUGUGCCCAGAGGGGAUUAGCUAGGAGGUGGGGUAAAGGCUCACCUAGUCGACGAUCCCUAGCUGGUCUGGGAGGAUGACCAGCCAACCUGGAACUGCGACACUGUCCAGACUCCUACGGGAGUCAGCAGUGGGGAAUAUUGCACAAUGGGCGCAAGCCUGAUGCAGCCAUGCCGCGUGUAUGAAGAAGGCCUUCGGGUUGUAAAGUACUUUCAGCGGGGAGGCGUUACCCGCAGAAGAAGCACCGGCUAACUCCGUGCCAGCCGCCGCGGUAAUUC
rnacentral:rRNA from 1 species